GGGAGAGACGGAUCUAAACAAACUCCGCCCGCCUCCGCUAGCGGCGAUUGAUGGUCGUUUCUAGCCGGAUGGGUUUUACGAACAUGAUGGGUAAUGGUUACUCCCCGGUUUCUUGCCGGCGGCUUCAUCGGCUAACGUUACGGCUACGUCGCCGGAGAUCUCUACAACAACGACGUUGAAGAGAAAACUAUUGGUGGUGAUUCAUUUGCUUUGUAGUGAAGACUCCACGUUUAUACUCUGGUCGUCUCUCCGUUUCGUCUACGACCUCCGGAGACUGUGGGUGUGAGAUAGGAGGCUAUGGGGAUUUUUGGCAGCCGGAACAAUGGAGAUCGAUGAUGUUGGUUGAUAUAUGGUAGCAGUGGUAAUGGGGAAUGGUGGUGUUGUUUUAAUGAUGUUUGCGGUAGUGAUGCAUAUGGUGGUGAAUAAGUGAGCGAUGAUGAGUCAUUAUAGUGGUUGUUAAGGUGAGCAGGGUAAUUCAUGGAGUGCAAUGUGACCAAUUUGUAUGAUUUAGACAACCACAUCUUACUUUUUACCUAAUUUUCGUCACAUUCAAAAAGUGAAAAAAAGAAAGCCGAUGAACGAUCUUUUCGCACUUUCAUAUUAUCGCCAAAGCAAUUAACUUUCACGCUGAAAAUUACACUAUGAUGACAACCUGGACGAAGAGGAGGUAUACUAGGACGAUGAUGAGAGGGAUUCUAGACAACUAUUGCAAUGGGGAAGAAGGUUGUUAAGGUGGCUGCUUCUGUAGAGUUGUAUAAUAAGUCUAAAGAAGUUUUAGGGUAAGGUUUAAUACUUUAUUUAGUCAAAAUAUUGUAAAUUAUUAGAGUUUAGAUUAGCUUAAAUGUUUUUUUAAUUGUUUUAAAUUUGAGUAAAAGAAGUAGUUUUAGUGAAUAAGUUGAUAGUUGAACUUCUAAAUUUUGGUGAUAAAAAAGAUAUCGCUACCAUGGUUUUAAAAAACGGUUGAGGAGUGAGGCGCACGCCACGAGGCGAAACGCCCAAAAAAUGGUUUUGAGGCGUGGCUCAGGGGGUUUCUAAUGUACGUGCACCUCAGAGGGGCUGAGGCACUAAAAAGGUUGCGCCUCAUGGGUUUUUGAUAAUUGUUUUUGAUGUUUUGUAUUUUUUUUGUCAAACAGUUAUUGGAUUUA